CGCGAAUGGCUCAUUAAAUCAGUUAUGGUUCAUUAGAUGAGUCCAAUCCUACUUGGAUAACUGUGGCAAUUCUAGAGCUAAUACACGCCUCCAAGCUCUGACCUAUCGGGACGAGCGCUUUUAUUAGACCAAGACCAAUCGGACUCCGGUCCGUUUCCUUUGGUGACUCUGAAUAACCUUUUGAAGAUCGCACGGUCUCGAACCGGCGACACAUCUUUCAAAUGUCUGCCUUAUCAACUGUCGAUGGUAGGUUAUGCGCCUACCAUGGUUGUAACGGGUAACGGAGAAUCAGGGUUCGACUCCGGAGAGGGAGCCUGAGAAACGGCUGCCACAUCCAAGGAAGGCAGCAGGCACGCAAAUUACCCACUCCCGGCACGGGGAGGUAGUGACGAAAAAUAACGAUGCGGGACUCUUCCGAGGCCCCGUAAUCGGAAUGAGUACACUUUAAAUCCUUUAACGAGGAUCAAUUGGAGGGCAAGUCUGGUGCCAGCAGCCGCGAUAAUUCCAGCUCCAAUAGCGUAUACUAAAGUUGUUGCGGCUAAAAAGCUCGUAGUUGGAUUUCAGUCGUAGGCCGGUGGUCCACCGCCCGGUGGCUACUGCCUGGCCUGGGCACCUUGCCGGCUCUCCCGCGAUGCUCUUGACCGGGUGUCGUGGGUGGCCGGAACGUUUACUUUGAAAAAAUUAGAGUGCUCUAAGCAGGCGCUACGGCCUGAAUAACACAGCAUGGAAUAAUGGAACAGGACCUUGGUUCUGUUUUGUUGGUCUUUGGAAGCCAAGGUAAUGAUUAAUAGGGACGGACGGGGGCAUUCGUAUUGCGACGCUAGAGGUGAAAUUCUUGGACCGUCGCAAGACGAACUACUGCGAAAGCAUUUGCCAAGAACGUUUUCAUUAAUCAAGAACGAAAGUCAGAGGUUCGAAGGCGAUCAGAUACCGCCCUAGUUCUGACCAUAAACGAUGCCAACCAGCGAUCCGCCGGAGUUACUCCCAUGACUCGGCGGGCAGCUUCCGGGAAACCAAAGUUUGUGGGUUCCGGGGGAAGUAUGGUUGCAAAGCUGAAACUUAAAGGAAUUGACGGAAGGGCACCACCAGGAGUGGAGCCUGCGGCUUAAUUUGACUCAACACGGGACACCUCACCCGGCCCGGACACCGGAAGGAUUGACAGACUGAGAGCUCUUUCUUGAU
rnacentral:rRNA from 1 species